UUGGGAGCUUGCUCCCAAAGGUUAGCGGCGGACGGGUGAGUAACACGUGGGCAACCUGCCUAUAAGACUGGGAUAACUUCGGGAAACCGGAGCUAAUACCGGAUAAUUCAUAUCUACUCAUGUAGGUAUGCUGAAAGACGGUUUACGCUGUCACUUAUAGAUGGGCCCGCGGCGCAUUAGCUAGUUGGUGAGGUAACGGCUCACCAAGGCAACGAUGCGUAGCCGACCUGAGAGGGUGAUCGGCCACACUGGGACUGAGACACGGCCCAGACUCCUACGGGAGGCAGCAGUAGGGAAUCUUCCGCAAUGGACGAAAGUCUGACGGAGCAACGCCGCGUGAGUGAUGAAGGUUUUCGGAUCGUAAAACUCUGUUGUUAGGGAAGAACAAGUACUAGAGUAACUGCUAGUACCUUGACGGUACCUAACCAGAAAGCCACGGCUAACUACGUGCCAGCAGCCGCGGUAAUACGUAGGUGGCAAGCGUUGUCCGGAAUUAUUGGGCGUAAAGCGCGCGCAGGCGGUCCUUUAAGUCUGAUGUGAAAGCCCACGGCUCAACCGUGGAGGGUCAUUGGAAACUGGGGGACUUGAGUACAGAAGAGA
rnacentral:rRNA from 1 species